rnacentral:rRNA from 1 species
UACGUAGGCAGCAAGCGUUGUUCGGAAUUACUGGGCGUAAAGAGUGUGUAGGCGGUGCUCUAAGUUCGGUGUGAAAUCUCCUGGCUUAACUGGGAGGGUGCGCCGGAAACUGGAGUGCUCGAGCGUGGGAGAGGAAAGCGGAAUUCCUGGUGUAGCGGUGAAAUGCGUAGAUAUCAGGAGGAACACCUGUGGUGUAGACAGCUUUCUGGACCAUUGCUGACGCUGAGACACGAAAGCGUGGGUAGCAAACAGG